AUGGAGGCUAUUCAGCUGUCAGAUGAACCGGACAUCUUUCGAUGAAAUUUGCAUUAGAAUGGCAAGUUUACAGUCAAAUCCAUGUAUGAUGCAAUGGUUCAUUAUGAUGUUCCGGUUGAUAACAGGAAAUUGUGGAACCUUAAAAUCUCUCUAAGAGUGAAGAUAUUUCUUUGGUUCCUAAACAGAGGGGUCAUCUAAACUAGAGAUAAUCUGGAACGACGCAAUUGGCAAGGCACCAAGACAUGUGCCUUUGCCGACAUGACGAGUCUAUCAAACACUUAUUUUCUGAGUGUAAGUUCGCUCGUUCGGUUAGGGCUAUAG
rnacentral:rRNA from 1 species